rnacentral:rRNA from 1 species
AUUGAACGCUGGCGGCAUGCCUUACACAUGCAAGUCGAACGGUAACAGGUUAAGCUGACGAGUGGCGAACGGGUGAGUAAUGUAUCGGAACGUGCCCAGUCGUGGGGGAUAACUACUCGAAAGAGUGGCUAAUACCGCAUACGACCUGAGGGUGAAAGCGGGGGACCGUAAGGCCUCGCGCGAUUGGAGCGGCCGAUAUCAGAUUAGCUAGUUGGUGGGGUAAAAGCCCACCAAGGCGACGAUCUGUAGCUGGUCUGAGAGGACGACCAGCCACACGGGGACUGAGACGCGACCCAGACUCCUACGGGAGGCAGAAGGGGGUAAUUUUGGACCAUGGACGCAAGUCUGAUCCAGCCAUGCCGCGUGAGGGAAGAAGGCCUUCGGGUUGUGAACCGCUUUUGUCAGAGAAGAAACGAGUUUCUCUAAUACAGAGACUUAAUGACGUUACCUGAAGAAUAAGCACCGGCUAACUACGUGCCAGCAGCCGUCGUAACAC